ACCGGAACUACAAAGGAGCAGCAGGUCUGGCAGCGACACCAGGCAGACCCCCCAAAACAGACCUGGCCAUUUCAGUGAUCUCGGGGGACCCGGUCCUUAGGCCUGCCAAGCUCGGGCUGGACCUGUCGUCCGCAGCUGUGGCAGCUGCCUUCCAGUCCCCGGGAGGAGGUAAGUAGAGUCUGCCAGGGCAGGGGGGUGCCCUCAUGCACCCCUGGCUCGGGGCACAGGGUGCGUGUGACAGGAGCCUGAAGCUGAACAGAGCCAGGCCGGGUGCGGACUUGCAGGGGAGAGUGAAGGAAAAUUCACGCUGGUCCUGGAUUAGGGG